UGGAUGAUAUAGAUGAUUCCUUCAAGAAACCUGGAGCUGUCCCUUUUAAGUGGGAGAUCCGACCCGGUGUUCCCAAGAUCCAUACCCAUCAACAAAAACUCCAACCAAAGCAAUUAUCACCACCCGCUUUACCAUCCCCAUCACCGCCUUUCACCCCUCACCGUUCACCACCUACUCCACGAACUCAACAAAAGCUUAAACUUAAACCCCCGCCAGCUGGAUUCAUU
rnacentral:misc_RNA from 1 species